rnacentral:rRNA from 1 species
AUUGAACGCUGGCGGCAUGCUUUACACAUGCAAGUCGAACGGCAGCACGGACUUCGGUCUGGUGGCGAGUGGCGAACGGGUGAGUAAUGUAUCGGAACGUGCCCAGUCGUGGGGGAUAACGUAGUGAAAAUUACGCUAAUACCGCAUACGAUCUAUGGAUGAAAGCGGGGGAACGCAAGACCUCGCGCGAUUGGAGCGGCCGAUAUCAGACUAGGUAGUUGGUGGGGUAAACGCCCACCAAGCCAACGAUCUGUAGCUGGUCAGAGAGGACGACCAGCCACACUGGAACUGAGACACGGUCCAGACUCCUACGGGAGGCAGCAGUGGGGAAUUUUGGACAAUGGGCGAAAGCCUGAUCCAGCCAUUCCGCGUGCAGGAUGAAGGCCCUCGGGUUGUAAACUGCUUUUGUACAGAACGAAAAGGUCUCUACUAAUACUAGGAGCUCAUGACGGUACUGUAAGAAUAAGCACCGGCUAACUACGUGCCAGCCGCCGCCGUAA